rnacentral:tRNA from 1 species
GGGCCCAUAGCUCAGCAUGGUUCAGAGCAGCGAGCUCUUAACUCGUUGGCCGAGGGUUCAAAUCCCUCUGGGCCCA